rnacentral:rRNA from 1 species
UACGUAGGGUGCAAGCGUUAUCCGGAUUUAUUGGGCGUAAAGAGCUCGUAGGCGGUUUGUCGCGUCUGCUGUGAAAACUGGAGGCUCAACCUCCAGCCUGCAGUGGGUACGGGCAAACUAGAGUGCGGUAGGGGAGAUUGGAAUUCCUGGUGUAGCGGUGGAAUGCGCAGAUAUCAGGAGGAACACCGAUGGCGAAGGCAGAUCUCUGGGCCGUAACUGACGCUGAGGAGCGAAAGCAUGGGGAGCAAACAGG